UGCAAAUCAGAACGCGGCACGA
rnacentral:miRNA from 1 species